AUGUGGACCUGGGUUUUGUUUCAAGUCUCUGGCGUUGUAGCACCAGGGAGAAGAGACACUGCAGGGUCUCCUGCCUCUGACCCUACAGUCUCGCCACUCGGCCACUCUGUUGAGCCAUACGGGCUGGGCACUGCUUCCGUGGACCAAGAUCUGAGUGUCCAUGGAUCAGAGCGUGCUUGUUGCAGGCGGUCAGGGAGCAAGUUUAGCAGAUGGAUGGAGUCAGGCUGGUUCAAAGAUGGAAAGUUUCCAAAGGAAAGCAGCGGGCAGGCUGAAGGUGACCGGUCCCUAAACGAUGCACCUGCCUGCUUGGUCCCCACUAGAAGGCUGCUAGUGUUCCAAGUGUCUGGUGCCGCGAGAGUUUCAGAGCCCCUGCUGGAUGCCAGGCACUGUCCCAUGUGUGGGCGAGGGGUGGGGAAGAGACACCAUUCCCACCUCCUGGGGCACAGGUCCAGAGUCAAGGCCACAGACAGUGCGGGUGGAGAGAGAGAGAGAGACUCCACUGCACACGGACUGGGUCUCUCUGCAGCUGCCCCGCGAUUUGUCCCAUGCUGUAGCUUUGAAUUAAUUCACUGGAGGUCACGCCGAAACUGGUGGGGUGCAGUGAGAUUUGGCAGUAGUAACUGGUGUUGGUGGGCCUUUGCUGGUUGGAAAUGCAAAGGGGCAGAGAAGACUUCAGAGAUGAUCUGGAUCUGGGCUUGGAGAGAGGGAGAGGGAGAGAGGGAGACAGGAGGAGGGGGGAAGGGAGGGAGGGAGGGAGAGAGAGCAUCUCCUUGGGACUUUUCUGAAAACCAGGGUGUAACACUUGCUCUGCUGACGCUGUGGGGUUGUUGGGAAAUGGGAGCCAAGGAGAUAAUGGACAGCAAACAUUAUUUUAUUUUAAGAUUUAUUUACUUAGGGACUGGCGCUGCGGCACAGUGGGUAAAGCCGCCGCCUGCAGUGCCAGUAUCCCAUAUGGGUGCCGGUUCAAGUCCCGGCUGCUUCAAUUCUGAUCCAGCUCUCUGCUGUGGCCUGGGAAAGCAGUGGAAGAUGGUCCAAGUCCUUGGGCCUCUGUACCUGCAUGGGAGACCUGGAAGAAGCUCCUGGCUCCUGGCUUCGGAUCAGCGCAGCUCCAGCUAUUGUGGCCAAUUGUGGAGUGAACCAGCAGAUGGAAGACCCCUCUCUCUCUCUGCCUCUCCUUCUCUCUCUGUGUAA
rnacentral:lncRNA from 1 species